rnacentral:rRNA from 1 species
GAUGAACGCUGGCGGCGUGCCUAAUACAUGCAAGUCGAGCGAACAGACGAGGAGCUUGCUCCUCUGACGUUAGCGGCGGACGGGUGAGUAACACGUGGAUAACCUACCUAUAAGACUGGGAUAACUUCGGGAAACCGGAGCUAAUACCGGAUAAUAUAUUGAACCGCAUGGUUCAAUAGUGAAAGACGGCUUUGCUGUCACUUAUAGCUGGAUCCGCGCCGCAUUAGCUAGUUGGUAAGGUAACGGCUUACCAAGGCAACGAUGCGUAGCCGACGUGAGAGGGGGAUCGGCGACACUGGAACGGAGACACGGUCCAGGCUCCUACGGGAGGCAGCAGUAGGGAAUCUUCCGCAGUGGGCGGAAGCCUUGCGGAGCAACGCCACGUGAGUGAUGAAGGUCUUCGGAUCGUAAAACUCUGUUAUUGGGGAAGAACAAAUGUGUAAGGAACUAUGCACGUCUUGACGGUACCUAAUCAGAAAGCCACGGCUAACUACGUG